rnacentral:lncRNA from 1 species
GAUUCUCAGCAAAAGGACUCUAAGGAUGCAGAGGAAGGGAAGUCACCCAAUCUGGGAAGGAGGUUUUUAUUAAGUAUAAAAACAGGUCAUCCACACAUAGCAAUGUGCUUUUCUAGAGAAAACCAUCCUACUCACCGAGAGCCAGGAUUGAGAUGAUGCCUUAAGAAACACCCACUCCCCGUGAGGGAUGUUACCAAGAAGUCAAGAACCACCAGUAACUUUGAAAAGUCCAGAUUACUCAGUCUCGGGUAUGUGUAUCAGCAAUGUGAAAACGGACUAGUACAUCUCUAGAGGCACAUGCCAUGUGGUCCAGCCAUAAUUAUUUGUUGUCACAACUAAGUUUCCUUUCUAUAUGAAAAGAUUAUAUUGAUCAGAAUUCUAA